AACCAAUAUUAGGGCAUCUACUGGAAUUGUAACACCCCCUUGACUAUUAAUUAUCUUCGAAAUUAUCAAAAACAAUCAUGAAAUUAAUUUUAUCACAAUAUUUCGUCAAUAUUUAACACUCGACUUAAAAUAACUUUUCACCCGGAUUCUAUCAAUUCUCUUAACUUCUAAAGAAAUGCCUUGGCUAUAAUCGUGGAAAUAUUGACACACGUCCAUAUCCGCUUCUGACAAUCCAAACCUGUUUAUGUUUUUAGGAUUAUCAAUAACAUAAUCUGUGCUCAUGGAUAUAACAAAAGUGUUAAACGGACGUAAUGUUCCCCUACACCUCGCUGCCUAGCAUCACUGAACUACCGUUUAGUGCGGCGUAAAGCAACAAUCACUCACUUUCCACUGCAGCCAUCUUCACCAUGGGUUUCCAGUGGCAUCUUAUCUGUACUAUUCUCUAUGUUGAAAUGUCGUUCACUGUUCUGCUUCUCCUCCCUGGGAUUCCGCCGCAGUUGUGGUGCUACUUCUUGACGUCAUUUCCGUUCCAGUGGAUCACAGAAAAUAUUUGGUUUUUCAUUUUGAGUGGAGGCUUCACCCUCAUUGUUGUAUUUGGAGAUGCUGUUUGGAGGCACCACAAGUGCAGAUCUCUAUUGCCCAAGAAGAUUACGAACGCACAUUAGGAGAUCAUUUUGUCGACAUGGGCCGAAAUAUUCCGGGCUCAGAGGAAUCUCCACAUCUCCGGAUUCCUUCUUCUGUUGGCUUUUGUGAACAAACGCCUGGUUGAUCUAUUGAUAUACACGGCCCAUGAGACACAAGAAGACGGAAACACACAUGGUAGACAUCUUCACUGAGGAGGAUAGACAGGCUGGUCAAGCCCAGUUAUUUGGUUAGUUGCAAGCCGCACCCAGCAGUAUUUAAGUCUGUCUCACAGUCCCUGAACCGCAUUAUCUUCCCUUCCGCCCAGCCCUUUCUGCUAUGCUAAAGCCCUAAUUGAAACAAGUAUAGAUGUCCUCAGGUUCUGGAGUGGAUUUGAUUUUACGCC